AGAGUUUGAUCCUGGCUCAGAUUGAACGCUGGCGGCAUGCCUAACACAUGCAAGUCGAACGCGAAAGGGCUUUGGCCCGAGACGAGUGGCGAACGGGUGAGUAAUGCGUGGGAAUCUGCCUAGUAGUGGGGGACAACCCGAGGAAACUCGGGCUAAUACCGCAUACGCUCUACGGAGGAAAGCGGGGUCGGGGCUUCGCGCUAAUGGAUGAGCCUAAGUCGGAUUAGCUAGUUGGUAGGGUAAAAGCCUACCAAGGCGACGAUCCGUAGCUGGUCUGAGAGGACGAUCAGCCACACUGGGACUGAGACACGGCCCAGACUCCUACGGGAGGCAGCAGUGGGGAAUAUUGGACAAUGGGGGCAACCCUGAUCCAGCAAUGCCGCGUGUGUGAAGAAGGCCUGCGGGUUGUAAAGCACUUUCAGUAGAGAAGAAAAGCCUAGGGAUAAUACCCCUGGGUCUUGACGUUACCUACAGAAGAAGCUCCGGCUAACUCCGUGCCAGCAGCCGCGGUAAUACGGAGGGAGCGAGCGUUAAUCGGAAUUACUGGGCGUAAAGCGCGCGUAGGCGGCUUUGUAAGUCGGAUGUGAAAGCCCUGGGCUCAACCUGGGAAUUGCAUUCGAUACUGCAUGGCUAGAGUAUGGUAGAGGGAAGUGGAAUUUCCGGUGUAGCGGUGAAAUGCGUAGAUAUCGGAAGGAACACCGGUGGCGAAGGCGACUUCCUGGGCCAAUACUGACGCUGAGGCGCGAAAGCGUGGGUAGCAAACAGGAUUAGAUACCCUGGUAGUCCACGCCGUAAACGAUGAGAACUAGAUGUCGGGAGGGUUGUUGCCCUUCGGUGUCGCAGCUAACGCGUUAAGUUCUCCGCCUGGGGAGUACGCCGGCAACGGUAAAACUCAAAGGAAUUGACGGGGACCCGCACAAGCGGUGGAGCAUGUGGUUUAAUUCGAUGCAACGCGAAGAACCUUACCUGCCCUUGACAUACUCGGAACUUUCCAGAGAUGGAUUGGUGCCUUCGGGAACACGGUGACAGGUGCUGCAUGGCUGUCGUCAGCUCGUGUCGUGAGAUGUUGGGUUAAGUCCCAUAACGAGCGCAACCCUUGUCCUUAGUUGCCAGCACAUAAUGGUGGGGACUCUAAGGAGACUGCCGGUGAUAAACCGGAGGAAGGUGGGGACGACGUCAAGUCAUCAUGGCCCUUAUGGGUAGGGCUACACACGUGCUACAAUGGUCGGUACAGAGGGUCGCCAAGCCGCGAGGUGGAGCUAAUCCCAGAAAGCCGGUCGUAGUCCGGAUUGGAGUCUGCAACUCGACUCCAUGAAGUCGGAAUCGCUAGUAAUCGCGAAUCAGCAUGUCGCGGUGAAUACGUUCCCGGGCCUUGUACACACCGCCCGUCACACCAUGGGAGUGGAUUGCACCAGAAGUGGGUUGCCUAACCUUCGGGAGGGCGCUCACCACGGUGUGGUUCAUGACUGGGGUGAAGAAAAAAAAAGGUAGCCG
rnacentral:rRNA from 1 species